rnacentral:rRNA from 1 species
AGAUUGAUCUGGCUAGAUUGACGCUGGCGGCAGGCCUAACACAUGCAAGUCGAGCGGUAGCACAGAGAGCUUGCUCUCGGGUGACGAGCGGCGGACGGGUGAGUAAUGUCUGGGAAACUGCCUGAUGGAGGGGGAUAACUACUGGAAACGGUAGCUAAUACCGCAUAACGUCGCAAGACCAAAGUGGGGGACCUUCGGGCCUCAUGCCAUCAGAUGUGCCCAGAUGGGAUUAGCUGGUAGGUGGGGUAACGGCUCACCUAGGCGACGAUCCCUAGCUGGUCUGAGAGGAUGACCAGCCACACUGGAACUGAGACACGGUCCAGACUCCUACGGGAGGCAGCAGUGGGGAAUAUUGCACAAUGGGCGCAAGCCUGAUGCAGCCAUGCCGCGUGUGUGAAGAAGGCCUUCGGGUUGUAAAGCACUUUCAGCGGGGAGGAAGGCGGUGAGGUUAAUAACCUCAUCGAUUGACGUUACCCGCAGAAGAAGCACCGGCUAACUCCGUGCCAGCAGCCGCGGUAAUACGGAGGGUGCAAGCGUUAAUCGGAAUUACUGGGCGUAAAGCGCACGCAGGCGGUCUGUCAAGUCGGAUGUGAAAUCCCCGGGCUCAACCUGGGAACUGCAUUCGAAACUGGCAGGCUAGAGUCUUGUAGAGGGGGGUAGAAUUCCAGGUGUAGCGGUGAAAUGCGUAGAGAUCUGGAGGAAUACCGGUGGCGAAGGCGGCCCCCUGGACAAAGACUGACGCUCAGGUGCGAAAGCGUGGGGAGCAAACAGGAUUAGAUACCCUGGUAGUCCACGCUGUAAACGAUGUCGAUUUGGAGGUUGUGCCCUUGAGGCGUGGCUUCCGGAGCUAACGCGUUAAAUCGACCGCCUGGGGAGUACGGCCGCAAGGUUAAAACUCAAAUGAAUUGACGGGGGCCCGCACAAGCGGUGGAGCAUGUGGUUUAAUUCGAUGCAACGCGAAGAACCUUACCUGGUCUUGACAUCCACAGAACUUUCCAGAGAUGGAUUGGUGCCUUCGGGAACUGUGAGACAGGUGCUGCAUGGCUGUCGUCAGCUCGUGUUGUGAAAUGUUGGGUUAAGUCCCGCAACGAGCGCAACCCUUAUCCUUUGUUGCCAGCGGUUAGGCCGGGAACUCAAAGGAGACUGCCAGUGAUAAACUGGAGGAAGGUGGGGAUGACGUCAAGUCAUCAUGGCCCUUACGACCAGGGCUACACACGUGCUACAAUGGCAUAUACAAAGAGAAGCGACCUCGCGAGAGCAAGCGGACCUCAUAAAGUAUGUCGUAGUCCGGAUUGGAGUCUGCAACUCGACUCCAUGAAGUCGGAAUCGCUAGUAAUCGUAGAUCAGAAUGCUACGGUGAAUACGUUCCCGGGCCUUGUACACACCGCCCGUCACACCAUGGGAGUGGGUUGCAAAAGAAGUAGGUAGCUUAACCUUCGGGAGGGCGCUUACCACUUUGUGAUUCAUGACUGGGGGAAGUCGAGCAAGACAGA